GAGGAAAAGAAACCAACAGGGAUUGCCUCAGUAACGGCGAGUGAAGCGGCAAAAGCUCAAAUUUGAAAUCUGGCUCUUUCAGGGUCCGAGUUGUAAUUUGUAGAAGAUGCUUUGGGUGUGGCUCUGGUUUAAGUUCUUUGGAAUAUUACAUCAUAGAGGGUGAGAAUCCCGUAUGUGACCAGUCGCCGCGCCCGUGUAAAGCUCUUUCAACGAGUCGAGUUGUUUGGGAAUGCAGCUCAAAAUGGGAGGUAUAUUUCUUCUAAAGCUAAAUAUUGGCCAGAGACCGAUAGCGCACAAGUAGAGUGAUCGAAAGAUGAAAAGCACUUUGGAAAGAGAGUUAAACAGUACGUGAAAUUGUUGAAAGGGAAGCGCUUGCAACCAGACUUGCACGCAGUUGAUCAUCCGGUGUUCUCACCGGGGCACUCUGCUGCGUUCAGGCCAGCAUCGGUUUUGGUGGUUGGAUAAAGGCCUUGGGAAUGUAGCUUCUUUCGGGGAGUGUUAUAGCCCCUGGUGCAAUGCAGCCUACCGGGACCGAGGACCGCGCUUCGGCU
rnacentral:rRNA from 1 species